GGAAAAGAGGUCCCACUGAGAUCAAGGGGCAAGCCCUUACCCCACUAACUUAUAGAUUUUUAUCUGUUAGAGGGGGAAGGAAUAGCUCCCUCAUCUCACAGCCCAACAUGCUUUAG
rnacentral:precursor_RNA from 12 species